UUGUACCCAUACUUCGCUUAUGGAGUGGAUCCGAAACCUCUAGAAGAUUAACAUAGGCUCUCUAUCCCCUACUCAAUACGGGGGGUAUACGGGGAAAUCCAAAACCUCUCGGUGAUGGGUUGCAUGGCUAACCGGAUUUGC
rnacentral:ribozyme from 1 species